AUUUUCCUUUCUCCAAUCAACCGAGUCAGGGACAUUAUCGUCAUUUGCAUACAUGAAACCCUUACUUCCAAUACGCUCUCCUUUCAGCAUCCGGUGAUGGCUUAUCUUUGAUCCAGCAUACAUGCUUCUAAACUCAUGGUUGAACUUGAACACAUUGAACCGCUUGAGUUUCUCUUGGCGGCUUAUCUCCGCCACAUGGUGGUGGCUCCUCCACCUCCGGUACAAAUCCCACAAACUCUCCUCUGUUUCAAGCUCUUUCUCGCUAUAAUCAAAUCCCUUCACAAAGCCUAGAACCAAAAACAAAGUAAACGAAAAUAAAACUAAGUUAUUGAUUUCCAUUUCUUACUACUUUUCUUAGAUAUUGAUUGGGAUUGAAAGUUAUGAACUUGGUGAUUGGUUUAUAUAGAGGAGACUGAUUGCUAAUGAGAUUAAAUGAUUAGAGGUUGAGUGCAUGAGAGGUGACUUAUGGCCAUGAAACACACUCAAUGGAAGUAAAUUGUAUUUUCUACUUUCUAUUCUAAUGUUGAAAACUAAAUAAGAUAAUAUGACACUUGUUGAACUCUCA